UACGGGGGGGCAAGCGUUGUUCGGAAUUACUGGGCGUAAAGGGCGCGUAGGCGGCCUGCUAAGUCGGACGUGAAAUCCCUCGGCUCAACCGAGGAACUGCGUCCGAUACUGGUGGGCUUGAAUCCGGGAGAGGGAUGCAGAAUUCCAGGUGUAGCGGUGAAAUGCGUAGAUAUCAGGAGGAACACCGGUGGCGAAGGCGGGUCUCUGGGCCGAUACUGACGCUGAGGAGCGAAAGCGUGGGGAGCAAACAGG
rnacentral:rRNA from 1 species